rnacentral:lncRNA from 1 species
UUUUUCCCUUCUCCAAUUUGAAAAUAAAUUAAAGCCAAACAAGGGAGGAGAGAUGACAAGAUUCUCAUUUAUUUGUUUACCCUUUAUUCCCUCUACCAACUACUUUUUGACUAUUUAGUGGUAAGCCAGAGAAAUAAAGUAGUAAAUACAAAGCAGUGAGGAAAACUUAUAACAACCUUAUCCACUUGGAUAUCAUGUAAGCCUGUAAUCAUUUAAAUUAGCCAGUGGGAGAAAAACUUAAGAAAGAAGUGAGCUGUUCUUAGAUUUGAUAUCGGAGUAGGUGUCAACUGCUGGAUGAAGGAGAAGAAAGGGCAUUCUAGUUGUGUAAAUAGCCUGUAUAAAGGCCAAUGAGUAAGAAACAGCAAAUAUUGAAGCAAAACUGGAGAGAAUGGUGCAUGGAGGUGAUGAGACCAGAAUAGAGUCUGUCCAUUCAAAGCCAACCAGUCUAUGGUACCAUGUUGUAGGGCUCUACCCUCGUGGCCUAAUUAUCUUUCAAAGGUCCCACUUCUAAAUACCAUCGCGCUGAGGAUGAGAUUUCAACAAGGGAAUUUUGGGGGAACACCAACAUUCAGUCGAUAACAGAGAGGAUAUCAACUUACCACUAUCAGGGAUGAAAGAGGGGUCAUCAUUAUAUAUACAUUUAAAACAUGUUA